GCUGGGCAUGAUGGCACAUGCCUGUAAUCCCAGCUACUUGGGAAGCUGAGGUGGGAGGAUUGCUUGAGGCCAGGAGUUCAAGACCAGCCUGGACAAUAUAGUGAGACCCCAUCUCUA
rnacentral:SRP_RNA from 2 species